rnacentral:rRNA from 1 species
GAGGAGCCCGCGGCGGAUUAGCUUGUUGGUGGGGUAACGGCCUACCAAGGCGACGAUCCGUAGCUGGUCUGAGAGGACGAUCAGCCACACUGGGACUGAGACACGGCCCAGACUCCUACGGGAGGCAGCAGUGGGGAAUCUUGCGCAAUGGGCGAAAGCCUGACGCAGCGACGCCGCGUGAGGGAAGAAGGCCUUCGGGUUGUAAACCUCUUUCAGGAGGGACGAAGCCACUCGGGUUAAUAGCCCAGAGGGUGACGGUACCUCCAGAAGAAGCCCCGGCUAACUACGUGCCAGCAGCCGCGGUAAUACGUAGGGGGCAAGCGUUGUCCGGAUUUAUUGGGCGUAAAGAGCGUGUAGGCGGCCAGGUAGGUCCGUUGUGAAAACUCGAGGCUCAACCUCGAGACGUCGAUGGAAGCCAUCUGGCUAGGGUCCGGAAGAGGAGAGUGGAAUUCCUGGUGUAGCGGUGAAAUGCGCAGAUAUCAGGAAGAACACCCGUGGCGAAGGCGGCUCUCUGGGACGGUACUGACGCUGAGACGCGAAAGCGUGGGGAGCGAACAGGAUUAGAUACCCUGGUAGUCCACGCCGUAAACGAUGGGAACUAGGUGU